rnacentral:piRNA from 1 species
UGAAUGGGAUGUGCCUCAGCACAGAAAU